rnacentral:rRNA from 1 species
UACGGGGGGAGCAAGCGUUGUUCGGAUUUACUGGGCGUAAAGGGCGCGCAGGCGGCGCAUUUUGUCAGGCGUGAAAGCCCCGGGCUUAACCUGGGAACUGCGUUUGAUACGGAUGGGCUAGAGUUCGGGAGAGGAGAGUGGAAUUCCCAGUGUAGAGGUGAAAUUCGUAGAUAAUUGGGAAGAACACCGGUGGCGAAGGCGGCUAC